ensembl:antisense 1700055D18Rik RIKEN cDNA 1700055D18 gene
UCCUCUCGCUGUGAGCUGGAGAUUACUUCUAACUUGUAGGUUUGAGAAAAGAUGUAAACGGAACCCCAAGAAGCCGAGUGAGACGAAUGGCGAGCUUCACAAUGAGUAGGAAAUGCCGUCGGUCUAAUGGUGGUUGGGUGGAUCGUCGCCCGCAUCGCGUCUCAGUUGCCCAGACGUCCAGCAUAGCAACGGGAGGGUCGGAACUCAGUCCGACGUGUGCCCACCAAGCCAUCAACUCCAGAAUCAAGUUUACAGUCGCCACCACCUUAAAACUUCAGGGCUCAGCCCUCUUAUCAAUGCCGCAAAAGAGUCUGCUGGACCGGGUGGGAAAGAGGAAGGCCCGGCUGCCGCCUUGGCCUCUUGCGGUAUACCACCGAGCAGUAAAAUCAAGAUUAUGUGUUCUAGAUAGCUUUCCUGUUACUUUGAUAAAACUGAACAAAGCAGUUUGGAAGAGGAAGUGUUUACUGGGCUUAUCACCAUGGUUUCGGAAAGUCCUGGGAAGAAUUCAAACAAACCGUAGACUAAAGCUACCUCCUGGCUUGGGCUCAGCUGUCCUUGUGCUCAGUUCACGCCUGCGUGAGAAUGGACAGGCCACAAGGGAUGAGCCCUACUAAGUCAAUUAAUAAGCAAGCAAUCCCUUUUCCCAAGUGAAGGAUAGUAUAAAAUUCUUAGUUGGUUCACAAGCUAAUAGGGUUUCCUAGGGCUUCAUCCAUCCUUAGUUUGCACCAGUUCCCAACCCCAAUAAACCCAUAUAAAAACCACACAAUCCAGUUAUAAAUAUAAGCUAUGUACCUAGACUGGACAGCUCUAGCACUGUGCUAACUUAUUCCCCAGCUGCGAGACCCUUUGCUAUUUGCAGUUUCUCCUGGCCACGUGGUUCUGCUCCUCCUCUUCUUCAGUCCUCUCCCCUUCCCUUCUCCUCUCUACCUGUCCCUACUCUCCAAGACCUCCCACCUCUCCCCUCCCCUGCCCAAUUACAGGCCUCAGCCUUUAUUGACCAGUUAAAAUGGGGAAGAGGAUGCCCUCAAUACCCUCCCCUUUCCCUCAUCCCAGUUUCCUUUCCAGAUUAACCCUUUAGCUCCUGACAUUCUCUCCCUUUUCUACCAUCCACUCCCACUACAAAAUGUUUUUUAAGAGAGCAUACAGAGCCGAAUACAGUAGAAUAAUAAUUACACAAAAAUAGAACCUGGUGUGGUAGCUCACACAUUUUAUCCCAGUACUGGGAGGCAGAAGCAGAUGGACCACUAUGAGUUUGAGUUUGAGACCAGCCUGGUCUACACAAUGUGUUACAGACCAAGCAGGAUUAUAUAGUAAGACCCUGUUAAAGAAGAAAAAGUGCAUAUGCACAGAGAUAAACCCAAGAGAUGAAACAGAAUGUUAGCAAUGGCUCUCUUAAAGGGAUGUGAGAUUAUGGGUUACUACAAUUUUAUUAUCCAUAGUUUCUGUGUUUUAUACUAGUAUACAUCCAAUAUGUGUUAUUUUGGUAAUUGUUUUAAUGAUUUAAUAAAUGUCAUGAAAAUGAGAACACUUAUAUGUUUAACAAGAUUUAAUAUAAAGCACUGAUUCUUUU